AUAUAUAUUGAGUAUUAAAUUUUUAUUAUUAUAUUCACUAAAAAUAAAUUUGAAUUUAGAUACGUGGCAGAUUUGUAUUCUGAUAUUAUUCUGAUAAUAAUAAUAUAUACCUAUGCUAAUAUGUAUAUAUAUAAGUAUGAACUAAAAUUAGAGCGAGUAAGACAUAAUACAAUUAAAGAUUCAUACUCGUAUUCAAAUUUCGUAUACCUAUAUUUUAUUCAAUAAAAUUUAAUAUUUUAAAAAACAUAAAAUCACUAUCUCUCUCUACAAUACAUAUUAAUUAUUAAAUAAUAAAAAAUAACCGUUAUUCUCUAAAAAAUUAAGUCGGUAGAAAAUGGUUUUUAAAUAUUUUUAUAUCUAACACUUUUCUCAUGUUUGGGCUCUAGAUUUUUUGUAAGGCCCCAUGACGUAGACUUGAAUUAAAUGAGAAGAAAUUAAUAAUAGUAGGAGUCUGAUGUAACUUGAACUUAGGAACCCCUGUUUUGAUAUUAUGUUAAAAAAAUUGAAAGAUCACACUUCAUUA
rnacentral:lncRNA from 1 species